rnacentral:rRNA from 1 species
CCUACGGGAGGCAGCAGUGAGGAAUAUUGGUCAAUGGGCGAGAGCCUGAACCAGCCAAGCCGCGUGAGGGAGUACUGCCCUAUGGGUUGUAAACCUCUUUUGUCGGGGAGCAAAAGCCGGAAGUGUCCGGCUGUGAGAGUACCCGAAGAAAAAGCAUCGGCUAACUCCGUGCCAGGAGCCGCGGUAAUACGGGGGAUGCGAGCGUUAUCCGGAUUUUUUGGGGUUAAAGGGUGCGCAGGCGGAUUGUUACGUCUGCGGUCAAAUCGGGGGGAUAAACCCCAUCCAGCCGUUGAAACUGGGGAUCUAGAGUGUGCGAGAGGUAUGCGGAAUGCGUGGUGUAGCGGUGAAAUGCAUAGAUAUCACGCAGAACCCCGAUUGCGAAGGCAGCAUACCGGUGCACAACUGACGCUCAGGCACGAAAGCGUGGGUAGCGAACAGGAUUAGAUACCCUAGUAGUC